UUGUGGCCUCAUAUCUCAAAAGUUUCUUGUCUUAUUUCCUCUGAUCUGUUUGAUUAUAAUUGAACAAAAUUCUCCUAUGUUUGAUUGAACGAGUGGGGAUCAAAUUUCUGUGUUUUGGUUUGAAGCCGACGGGGAUUGUAAGGCCUCUUGUUUCAUCCAUCAGACAGAGCGAAUUCCUCUUGUUGCAUGAUUUGAUUUGGAAAAAUAGGCUUGCAAGCAAAUAUUAUUGCGCGUGUUUGAUGGAUGGAUCCCAUCCACUACCUUUUUGACUGAAAUCCGAUCCAUUGCCAUGAUUUCGUUCCAAUUUAUUCAUGAAAUUAUGCUUUACUGUUGAACUGUUGGAUACUGGAGCGGAGGCGCCUUUUAUUUUUCGCCCUCUUCGCUCGUGGGAAAGGCGCAACAGGUCAGAGGAGGAAGCUAUGAGAACUGUGAAAGAGGAGAUGGGGAAGGGCGGCUGACAUGUGGGACUACUCAGUACUGGCGGACACCUUCGACCACGUCAUUGCCACCUAUGUGUCCUCGCCCCCCUUUGAUCCUCUCGCGGUCUCGCCCCCCUUUCAUCCUCUCGCCCUUUAUGCCCGGCUGGGAGAAGAUGUAGCAUGUGUGUUCCUGUUUUAGACAGUAUCUUUCAUGUGAUGUUAUGUUCUGGAAUGCACAAGUAUUAUCUUCUCUUUCAUUUUUCAAGUCUGUGUUUCUUUUCACAAGUACUAUGUACCGAGCAAGACAUGGUCUAUAAUGGCAAGAAGGAUGAUAUGGAAUCGUUAGAUAAUCCGGUUAUGGUUAAUUGCGUCUAGAUCUGGUGAAUGGGCAAUGCAUGGCAAGAACAGCCAAGCUUUUCCAUCUGAGAAACAAGAGUCCGAAGAUGUAGCUGCUGUUGCAGAAGAACUUAGUUCAGAAGCAAAAAUGCAGCCCGGAAGCCAGCAUCAGGCAAGAAGCAAUCUGAAAAGAAGAGGAAAUUGGAUAAAGAGGCAGUGUCCGAAGAGCAAAACGGACCGGCUGAUGAAACCAAUGCGGCCGAGGAUUAGUUUUUCCGACCUUGUCCUAGGCUGAAUCUGAAUCACAAUAGUAGGUGUACUUCCUUAGCAGCAUGCCCCUUGUGCUCUGUUUCGCGGUCUCUCUAGAUGCAGAACUGUCGUGUACGUGGUAUCAUGAUGUAUGACUGUUUCUGUUCCAAACAUUGUCAGCUACGCUAGCUUAAAUUACGAAUCUCAUCAUGUUAUUUAAAUUAACGCCUGUGGUGAAAUAUACUGCUUUUGGGUUUA